rnacentral:rRNA from 1 species
CAGUAGCCGCGGUAAAACAGAGGGUGCGAGCGUUAAUCGGAUUUACUGGGCGUAAAGCGUGCGUAGGCGGCUUCUUAAGUCGGAUGUGAAAUCCCUGAGCUUAACUUAGGAAUUGCAUUCGAUACUGGGAAGCUAGAGUAUGGGAGAGGAUGGUAGAAUUCCAGGUGUAGCGGUGAAAUGCGUAGAGAUCUGGAGGAAUACCGAUGGCGAAGGCAGCCAUCUGGCCUAAUACUGACGCUGAGGUACGAAAGCAUGGGGAGCAAACAGGAUUAGAUACCCCGGUAGUCCCUGUCUCUUAUAC